UCUCGCAAAAAAAAAAACACAAAAAGAUGGAAAAAAAUACCACAAUUCACACAACAAAAAGGAUUACAAAACAAAAAUCACCAACAAACCGCACACACAACAACACUUCCAUCUCUCUCACAUUCUUUCUCUCUCAUUCUCUCAUUCUCUCUCAUUCUCUCAUUUCCUCUCAUUU
rnacentral:ribozyme from 13 species